rnacentral:rRNA from 1 species
UAAGGAAUAUUGGACAAUGGUCGCAAGACUGAUCCAGCCAUGCCGCGUGCAGGAAGACGGCCCUAUGGGUUGUAAACUGCUUUUGUACCAGAGAAAACCUAUCUACGUGUAGAUAGCUGAUAGUAUGGUAAGAAUAAGCAUCGGCUAACUUCGUUCCAGCAGCCGCGGUAAGACGAAGGAUGCAAGCGUUAUCCGGAUUCAUUGGGUUUAAAGGGUGCGUAGGCGGGCUUGUAAGUCAGUGGUGAAAUCUCUCAGCUUAACUGAGAAACUGCCAUUGAUACUGCAGGCCUAGAGUAUAGAUGACGUUGGCGGAAUAUGACAUGUAGUGGUGAAAUACUUAGAUAUGUCAUAGAACACCGAUUGCGAAGGCAGCUAACAAAACUAUAACUGACGCUGAGGCACGAAAGUGCGGGGAUCAAACA